GGUUGGCUCUGCAGAAAUUGAUGGCUUCUGGAAGAAGAGAGGAAGGGGAUUGACUCAGUUCUACUUAAGCAAGCAAAAGGUUCAACGUUGAGUUAGAAACUAGGAUCAAGAAUUUCUCCAACAAUCUGACUUCGGAGUGGUGACAUUAAAGCUACUAUGAAUGCUGCUGUUGGGAAUACAGGUGUACAGAUAAAUGUUUCAUUGUGGACCAUGACAUCAGACCAUUCAAGUGGACCAUGACAUCAGACAGAAGAACUCAGAAGGUUUAGUCAUCUCAAACACCAUGAAUCUCACAAUUGAUAACGAAUCUCUGCCUACCAUGAGACAGUGUUGUUGGAGGACGAAAUCUGAAAAUCAUG
ensembl:lncRNA